rnacentral:lncRNA from 1 species
GUCAGUUUUGAUUUAUUGGUUAUUCUCCUCAUUAUGGUUGUAGUUUCCUAUCUGUUUGUGUGCCUGGUUAUCUUUGGUUACAUGCACAUUUUUUAGAUUUUAUUUUGUUGGGUGUUGGAUACUUCUGAACUCUAGCAGAAUUUCUAGAGCUUUGUUCACGAAUAAUAAGGUACUUGGAAUCAGUUUGAUCCCUUCAAGUUUUGCUUUAAUGGUCUGUUUGACAUACUGGAAGCAAUUCUCAGUCUAGGGCUAAUUUUUCUCCACUAACGAGGCAGUACCUCCUUGAAUAAUCUACACAGUGCCUUAUGAGUUUUCCCAGCCUUGCGGGUGAGAACAGGCACUAUUCCUGCCCAUGUGUGUGCUCCAGCAUGGGUUCUCUCUAUUGCUUUCAGAUGAUUCUUUCCUGGGACCCAUGCAGUUUUCUCAUGGCACAUAGUGAUCAGAACUCUGCUGAGUAUCUGACAGGGGUCCUUCUGCAAACUGCCACUGUUCCCUCUGUGCAGCUCUGUCCUCUUUGUCUCUUGUCCUAUCAACUCUGUCUUCAACUCCUUGGACUCUCACCUCUGUUUCGUCAAUCCAUGGUCCUAACUGGGUUUUACCUCAGUUCCUUUUCCAUAGAAUCACUGUCAUGGAGUUCCCUGUGGUUCAGUGGUAACAAACCUGACUAGUAUUCAUAAGGGCGUGAGUCCGAUCCCUAGCCCUGCUCAGUGGGUUAAACGAUCCAGUGUCGCUGUGAGCUGACAUGGCUUGGAUCUGGUGUUGCUGUGGCUGUGGUGUAGGCUGGCAGCUGCAGCUCUGAUUGGACCCCUAGCCUGGGAACCUCCAUAUGCUGCAGGUGUGGCCCUAAAAAAAAAAAAAAAAAAAUCACUUGUCAUUCAUUGCCUGAUAGCCUGUGUCUUAAAAACCACUGUUUCAUGUGUUUUGUCUGUUUUGGCUUUGUUUUCAGUGUUUGUUUUGUGUUUGUUUUAGUUGCUACAGGUGUGAGGGUAGAUACAGUCCCUGCAACUCCAUCUUGGCCAUAUAGCUUUUCUUAAUCAGAGGCAGCAGGAAGGAAUCUGAAAUGGCCCGUCAUCAAUGUCUUUCCUUCCUUAUUUAUGAUGAGAAUGAGAAAUGUGGCUCAGAUCAUUUCUAUAUAUAUUUACAGUUUUUUUGUUUAUCACAUCUCAAAAAACAGAUUAGGCAAACACUGAUCCUUCAAAUGGAUUCCUUCUCCAGACACAAGAGACUUCCACUGGGGAAUAUUCCUUUAUAGUGUAGGAUGCUAGCCCAAGCUUUGUUCUUGCAGUAUGCAGAUUCAAAUGUGUGCUCAGGUGUCUGACAGAUGAGAAGUUGCAGGUCCCAAGUAAUAUGUUAUAAACUGGGGAAAUGGCAGUAAACGUAGGCUGGGUCCAAAGUCAUUCAAAUUCAAUAGUACGAUGGCAAAUAAGAGACUUUUCAGGCCCAGUUUAAUGGCACUGUCUAAUCCUAAAUUCCCACCACUUAUCUCAAUUGUAAGACUUUUUAUUGAAUUAUUCCAUGAAAAAAAAAAAACCUUUAAGAACAACAUAUGGCAUUAAUAAUUGUAGUGAUACUAUUAUUGACGCUGAUAAAUCCUUCAAAGAGGGCCCACAGUCUCCCAAGAGGAUUAACCAGGAGAAUACAAAAUCAUAGAUGAGGAAAUGAAUCUAAUUCUCCCAAAGCAGUAAGUAUCUUUUUUACCACUCUUGGAGCUGUGUGACCACAAAGCUUAGCAAUGUAUUUGUGUUAAGGAUAGUACAUCUUUUCUGUCUUCCCAGCAAAAGUAGCCCUAUUGCUGCAACCUGUUUCUCCUGUUUUACAUCUACUUCGGUCAAUAUUUUCUUAAGCUUGUAAGAAAGCUAAGUGAUACAGUUGGAUGUGGGAAACUGGUUUUAGAAUAUAAGCUAGAAGAGACAGUCUUUGGAGACCUGAGAUCAAUUCUUUUCAUAGUAAUAAUUUUUGGAUUUUUAAAUAGCUACGGUAUGGUUUCCAGUGUCCUAGAAAUCCAAUGGCAAAUAAGAGUAUCAUAUCAAGAAUCAUAAACAUAUGACAAAUUAUACAGAUUAAGCUUAUAAAAUUCUAACUCCUGCUGUUACUCAAGCUAGUCUCUAUAAGUACAGACCCAGAAUAUUUGAGUCAUAUAAUGACUAAAAUAUAUAUUCCUACUAAUACUCAAUUUGAGUUUCCUUGCCUUAAAGGACAUCAAAAGAUAUCAACGUAUGAUAGUCAGAUAUAAAGUAUUAGUGUGUUUUUUAACACCUAGUAAAAAUAACAAAAGAUAUUAAUUGAAUGAAGAAAGUCCAUCUUGAUUAGAUUUAGUCUAACCACAAUAUUCAGCAGCAAGAUUAGUCUCUCUAACAUAAAUACUAAGACACGUGACUGCUGUGAUAAUGAUGACUGACUUUCACUGCAGGGUUUAUGCAUCUCUAAAACUGGUUAUGUUUCAUGACUGAACUGCAUUUUUCAAAGUCCUUUUCCAAAAUCUUCUUGAAAGCCAAACUCUUUUAUUUUUUUAACAGCUUAAAUUAAAAAGAGGUGAUACUUUCCCAAGAAAGGUUUGGUUAGAUGAGGGAUUCUCAACCUGGAGGAUUUUUUUUUUGUUUGUUUUGUUUUUUCCACUCCUCCUUUUCUCCCUGGGAAAUUUUGCAAUGUUUAGAGAUGUUUUGUUUGUCAAAACUGAGGAGGAAGCAUUACUGGCAUCUAGCAAAUAGAGGCAAGGAUUCCACGAAACAUUUUACAAUGUAUGAGCAGCCUCCUAGAACAAAGAACUAUCUAGUCCCAAAUGUCAAUAGAACUGGGAUUGAGAAAUCCUGUGUUAGAUGAAGGCUGUGGGAUUCUAAUACACUUCAGUAUAAAUUCCAACUGAGAAAUACCUUUGUGCUAACUUUCAAAAUUACAUUUGUUUAAAAAAAUAGUUUCAUUUAUUAUUUUAAAAUAAAAACUCCUUACAUUUUAUCAUUUACAAAAUCUUUUCCCUGUUUUCAUCUCAUUUGCUCUCCAUAGCUCUGAUGAAGAAGUCAUCUUUUUCCCUGUUUUGAUACCAAGGGCGCUGUUGCGCAGGGGGAAGAAGAGGCAAAGGGAUUCAAGCAAGGUCACAGAGAUUCAAAUUCUUGAUGGUCAAUCUAGUGCUUACCUAUAGCUGUGACACUCUUGUUAAGAACACUACAUAAAAAGGGAUUUAAAGUUUUUAAAAGCAAAUUGUGCAGAUAUCAUAUGCUUUAAGGAUGGAGGGUGGGAGAAGACUGGGCAUGGUUUGGAUAUUAUCAGAAAUGGGAAGCAAGAAUGGGAGGUAAAGAGCAAAAAGAACAAUGACAUUAGUCAAGUCACAUGGAGAAGCACAGACAGAUCCCUAAUUCAAAUGACGACUUCUCUGUGAAAAAUCAUUCCUUUCCGUAUAAACAGGAUAAGACCCUUAUGAAAACAUAAAAUUGACAAAUGUGCUGAGUCCAACCAGAAAAAAAGAAACCAUACUCAUUACUUCCAACAGAUAUUUGAUGCAAGGAAUACAUUGCACAAGUGAGGGAAAUACUAGGAAUUCAGGCGUUGGCAACCGUAUAGGAAGCCAUUACACUUUUAAACAGGUCAGAGGGGGAGUUCCCAUUGUGGUUUAGCAGGUUAAGAAACUGAUUAGUAUCCAUGAAGAUGCAGGUUCAAUCCCUGGCUUCACUCAGUGGGUUAAAGGAUCUGGUGUUGCCACGAGCUGCAGUGUAGAUCUCAGAUCCCCUGUCACUGUGGCUGUGGCACAGGCCAGCAGCUGCAGCUAUUUGACCCCUUCUGGGAACUUCCAUAUGCUCCAGGUGUGGCCCUAAAAAAAAAAAAAACAAAAAUUAAACAGGCCAGAGAGAGGAAGCAGUAUUGCAGGGAUGAUUCAGCGGGAGGCUAGACUAGCAGGAGUUGGAGCCUGUGAGAAAACAUAGUUGCUGCAGGGGACGGUGCCUAAGGCUGAAAAUGAGGGGGAAUAACACACUGACUUCGACCUUUCUCCUACCAUCCUGGGUCUUGACAGUGCUUCCUAUCAGCCUAACCCAGCAGGAAGCCAGCUGACACAGGAGCCUGAGAAACCGUCUGCAGGAGCUGAUUGAGAUGUGGAGCAAAGAGAAAAAGCAAAGGAUGAAU